UACAGAGACUGCAAGCGUUAUUCGGAUUCACUGGGCGUAAAGGGUGCGCAGGCGGCCAAGUGUGUGAGGCGUGAAAGCCCGGGGCUUAACCCCGGAAUUGCACCUCAAACUACAUGGCUAGAGCAUUGGAGAGGGCAGCAGAAUUCAUGGUGUAGCAGUGAAAUGCGUAGAUAUCAUGAGGAAUACCAGAGGCGAAGGCGGCUACCUGGACAAUUGCUGACGCUCAGGCACGAAAGCGUGGGGAGCAAAAGGG
rnacentral:rRNA from 1 species